GAGACACUUCUCACUCACCACUGGAGUGGGAACCUGAAGAGGACCUCUACAGCACUGAGGACUCAAAGGGACUGUCAGAGCUGCCUGCCAACAGGGACGCUGAGGAGCUGCUGGGACUGCAGCUAGCUGUGUACCCUGAGAAGAUGAAGGACACCCAUGGAGUGAAGUUUCCCCAUCUGUUAAAUGGAGAGAUAGCAAUAUGUACCAGAGAAGAAACCUGAUGACGUACAGAUUUUCAGAUAUCCACGGUCACACGUAGGGAGAAGAGCAGGGACGUGGCCAGAAGUGUCAGAAAUACCCAGCAGAGGAGUGUGGUACCCACUGAGCAUGCUCAAAAACUUCCUUGAAGCCAAUGUUUGAAGGCGCCAUUAUGCACAAGCAGUUUUGCAUGUCUUACACAUCCUCGGUCUUAGAUGUGAGCCAAUCAUCCAAUGGACUUGGCUCAAUGCUGAUGAUGGAAGGCUAUUUAGAUA